GUGUGUCGGUAGGCGAGAGAGCAGUCCGCCAGCUGCAGAAAGACCAGCACGGGAAUCCACAUCAUUGCAGCUGCCGCGGAGGCCAACAAACCACAUGGGGCCCUGACCAGGAAACGCUCCACAAAAGACGUCCCCGUAGCGUGUUCCUC